ACGAGAGUGCCACGUAAAAUUGGAGGGAGAGCAAUUUGUUUGUUGCUUGCUUAAGCAGUGGCACGUCGUCGUUUUGGAAAUUGCCGAGAAUUUCUUUUGGUUAGUGGCAACUGCUAAAUCCAAAUCAUCAAGAGACAGAACCAAAUUUGAUUUGUCUGUGUCACCAGAAAAAGUGUAAUGAUGAACAAGAAAGGUCUGGCCAUUCUUAUGCGAACCAAAACGCGUCCUCUUUCCCCUGUCUCCAGCAAAUUGAAUCAAAUGCAAGCCUCUCUACCAGAAGGUGAUAAAGUUUCUUCUCAGGAUGCGUCACUUAUUCCACGAAGAGACUUCAGCCAAGUACGGGAGUCAAUGCACUCUGCCAUGUUGACGAACAAGACAGAAAUUGUGGACGUUGCUCUGGAUGACUUUUCAGAGGGAUACAUUUUCCUUUCCCCAGAAAAUCGUUAUAAGAUACUUCUUUCACUAUCUAAAGAGUAUGAUCUCAAUCGGACCCAAGUUCGCGAGUUAAUGAAGCAGCAUCUUGAUCUUCAGCUCCCAAGUGAUAAGGCUGAAGAUAAUGAUCACGAAGAGGAAGGAUCAUUAUCAGCUUUCUACAAGAUUGAGCGGAAUUUGUGCCAGGCUCUCAAGCCUAUGUAUGAGGUUCUUUUUGAGAGGCUCAAUACGCAUCCUGGGGGACUGAAGUUCCUGUCUGAUAUUAGAGCUGAUAUUCUCCGUCUUCUCGAAGACGUAAAUAUAGCAUCUCUGCGAGCAUUGGAUUCCCACCUAAAGGAGAAAUUGAUUACAUGGCUUAGUCCUGCUAAUUUGGAGCUUCACAAUAUUACAUGGGAUGAUCCUGCGUCUUUGUUGGAAAAAAUUGUUGCAUAUGAGGCUGUGCAUCCAAUAAGCAAUCUUAUAGAUCUGAAAAGAAGGCUAGGAAUAGGUCGACGCUGCUUUGGGUACUUCCAUCCAGCAAUACCUGGUGAACCACUUAUUUUUAUUGAGGUUGCACUUAUGAAGGAUGUGGCAGCGACCAUACAGGAGGUCUUAUGGGACAAUCCUCCAAUUUCUGAACAUGAGGCUUCUUGUGCAAUAUUUUACUCUAUUUCAUCUACUCAGCCUGGCUUAUCAGGAGUCAACCUGGGGAAGUUUCUAAUCAAACGUGUGGUUGAAGUGGUGAAAAAAGAUAUGCCCAAUAUCUGCGUAUUCGCUACUCUUAGUCCCAUCCCUGGUUAUGGGCAAUGGCUGUUAUCAAAAUUGGCUUCGUCAGAGAUGUCCGGUUCUGUCUUCAAAGAAAAAUUGCUUAAACCGGAAGAAGAAAAGGCACUUAUGGAUGCAUCAGGAGGUUCCGACUUGGGAAGCAGUGUCAUUAAAGUAAUGUGGAACUUAUUGACAUCAAAAAACCAUGAGUGGACCAAUUCACCUAAUCUGGUAUCUGCGUUGAGAACCCCUAUGAUGCGACUUUGUGCCAGGUAUGCUAGAGGUACCUUAUGAAAGAAAAAAAGAGAGGAAAAGCUCUAGAUUCGGUUGCAAAUUUCCACUUGCAAAAUGGAGCAAAGAGCCAACAAGAGAGGAGACCUUGACAGAGGUUGAGGGACUUGUGACUUAGGUCAUAGGUUCGAGCCCUGCACCAUGCAAACUACGGCUCUGGUAUUUAAAUGGAGAAGAAUAGAGGGCCAGGUCUGUUAUCUCUGAGUUCCGAAGGCUGAGGUUGGUCCUAAGGGUUGUCCCCAGAUGGAUUUCUCUGUCAUAAAAAGAAAAUGAGAAGAUUUUUGACAAAUACCUGAGGAUAAAUCAAAUGGAUUGCUUAUUCCUCCCUAAACUACAGCCAAAAAGGCCCUGUAACUUUUUCACAUGAUUUUGAUUUAGACGGAUAUCGGGGUCUCUCUCUCUCUGAUUAUGAACUAGGAUAGAGAACUAAUAUCUAGAUGCUGUCUCAAUUUUAAACACGUCCUGGAAAUUCAGUUUUUCCAAGAUUGAAGAACCUAUUUUCACCUGAACCGUAGUGGAAGGAAAGAAUGUGUAUGCUAGGGACUUCAGGGCGUAAGAUGAAUGAACUGCAGUGAUGCCCACACCCUUUUUAGGGUCUGCUCUACCAAGUUGAAGUUGUAAUAGUUGAAAACAAUAACAUAUGGCUGCAAAUUAUCUUGAGAUGUUUAGCCAAAGCAUAAGAACUGAAACAGUGAAACCAAAUUAUGAGAAGAGAAACAUCGUAAGAACAUCAGUUUAUUCAAUUAUUAGAACUAUAGAUGCAUUUACGUAGAAAUUGUUGUAGUAUAAUGAUUUCUGAUAACCAGAUGUGUUUGCAAGUUGGUAUCAGGAAUUAGCUAGUGAGGAAAGGUGCUCCAAAUUUGUGCAAACUGACUUUUCUUCCAUUCAAAAGCUUUGUUAAGUUGAGAUUUGAUGUUUUGUUCAUCUGUAGAAGCUUGUGUACAGAGUUUAGCUUACAGCAUUUUCUACUUUUUUUUAUUGGAUAAUCUUCCUGGUCUUUUGAAGCGGAUGUUAUCAUUACGCCAUGAGACAUGAACAUUUCUUUUUCCUUUUUGUGCAUGGAAUGAAAAAUCACAUCAAGCCCCUCUGCAUUUAUUGUCAGUAUUAUAAACGCAGAGUAAGUGCUUUUAUUGUCAGUAUUAUAAACGCAGAGUAAGUGCUGGACAAAAUUAUCUUAGUGAAGAACGCAUACUACGUUUUAAAUAGAGUUACAAAGAAAAUAAGAAGACUCCAAGACAAACACUACUAAUGUAAUAUAAAUAAACAAUGACUGCCGAAGGCAGUAUCCUAAAUAAAGUAGAAUUACAAAGUAGAAUUGCUGAACAAUAAUAUUGACUAAACUAAACUAUGAACUAAUAACCGAACUAACUAAUUGGAUUGUUGCCAAGGAAUAGGAUAUACUCAGAUGUGGAAACUCUGUCUGUAAUGUUCCGACCCCAAUCUGCAUCAGAGUAUACAUGUAGAUUGAAGUCCUUAAUGGGAGUUACACGUAAGCCUAGUUAGAUGGUGCCAUGCAGGUAGCAGAGAACACACUUCACAGCUUUCCAGUGAAGGUCUGGCGGUGUUUGCAUAAACUAGACAAUUUAUUCACUACAUAGGCAAUGUCCGGUCUAGUGAAAGAUAGGUGUUGAAGCCUUCCUAAAACUCGAAGAUAGCGUGUCGCAUCAGUCAAGUGAGUACCAUCGGACAAAGUGAGCAACUUAGUUGCACUAUUGGCGUGGGAACACUUUUGCAGUCGGUCAUUAACUCAUCAUUCAGGAUAUCAUUCACAUAGUUUGCUUGGGUGAGAAUUAAACCAUUAGAGUUGCGCAUCACUUCAACACCAAGAAAGUAGUGAAGAUUCCCCAAAUCUUUAAUUGAGAAUUUAGCGGCGAGGGAAGCGAUAACCUGAUCGGCACUUGACGUGUUGCUCCCA